GGUAUAGGUCAAAUAACGACGCGAUAACUACGAGAAAUGAUAGGUAUUCGCUGGUUUUGAAAAGUUGCUAAAUGCUUAUCACUCGAGGGCUCUCCAGUAUCAUUUCUUCAUAGGAAAGGGACUGUUUGAGCGGUGGCAUCUUGGUUCCCGUCUUGCAAGACCAAGAACCCAGUGUCCAAAGUCCAAACAUCCUUGCGUCCUCCAUCUUGCCUACCCUCCUGCUCUCGAAAUAAACGAUGCUCAAAGUUUAACAAUAAGUACGUAAGUAGGUAUACCCUCAAAUUAAAAUGUGCAGUGGCGUGGCGUGCUUUGCGAUAUAUCGAUUGUUAUGUCAUUUAAACCUAUCCCUAGUAGCAGAACAAAUUUUUGUUUUUCUAAAAAAAGUAUAAAAAAAACAUAUCUGUUAUCUAAAUGAUCGUUUUAUAUAAAAAACGUGUAACGCUUAUAUAAAAAAAAAUCAAAGUUCAGACCUGACCGUAAUAUAUGAAAAAUGAUAAAAGCUAGAUAAGGUAAUUUUUUUUUAUACACAAUUUUUUUAUUUUUUUAUAUAACGCAUGCAUACGAAAGUGUUAAAAGUGAACAUUUUUAUGUAACGAUUAAAUAAAAAAAAUAGGUCAUGAUUUUUGUGAGCUUUUCGCG
rnacentral:lncRNA from 1 species